rnacentral:rRNA from 1 species
CCUACGGGAGGCUGCAGUGAGGAAUAUUGGUCAAUGGACGAGAGUCUGAACCAGCCAAGUAGCGUGUAGGAUGACUGCCCUAUGGGUUGUAAACUUCUUUUAUAUGGGAAUAAAAUGUUCCACGUGUGGGAUUUUGUAUGUACCAUAUGAAUAAGGAUCGGCUAACUCCGUGCCAGCAGCCGCGGUAAUACGGAGGAUCCGAGCGUUAUCCGGAUUUAUUGGGUUUAAAGGGAGCGUAGGUGGAUUGUUAAGUCAGUUGUGAAAGUUUGCGGCUCAACCGUAAAAUUGCAGUUGAAACUGGGAGUCUUGAGUACAGUAGAGGUGGGCGGAAUUCGUGGUGUAGCGGUGAAAUGCUUAGAUAUCACGAAGAACUCCGAUUGCGAAGGCAGCUCACUGGACUGCAACUGACACUGAGGCUCGAAAGUGUGGGUAUCAAACAGGAUUAGAUACCCGAGUAGUC